GGGCGAAUGGUCUAGGGGUAUGAUAUUCGCUUUGCAUGAUCUGAUUGUGUGUGGUACUACAUAAUGUUCAGAACUCACUGCCUGCGAAGGGUCCGGGGUUCAAAUCCCCGUUCGUCCA